UUAAGUGACUAAGCGUACAAGGUGGAUGCCUUGGCAAUCAGAGGCGAAGAAGGACGUGCUAAUCUGCGAAAAGCUUGGAUGAGUCGAUAAGAGGCGUUUAAUCCAAGAUAUCCGAAUGGGGAAACCCAGUAGAUGAAGAAUCUACUAUCAACAAGUGAAUUCAUAGCUUGUUGAGGCAAACCGGGAGAACUGAAACAUCUAAGUACCCCGAGGAAAAGAAAUCAACCGAGAUUUCGUCAGUAGCGGCGAGCGAAAGCGAAAGAGCCAGUAAGUGAUAGCAAUAUAGUUAGGAGAAUGUGUUGGGAAGCACAAUCAAAGAGGGUGAUAAUCCCGUAUCUAAAAACCAUAUUGUGGUACUAAGCUAACGAGAAGUAGGGCGGGACACGUGAUAUCCUGUUUGAAGAAGGGGGGACCAUCCUCCAAGGCUAAAUACUCCUGAUUGACCGAUAGUGAACCAGUACUGUGAAGGAAAGGCGAAAAGAACCCCGGUGAGGGGAGUGAAAUAGAACCUGAAACCUUGUACGUACAAGCAGUGGGAGCCCCAUCACUUAAUCCGAUUGGAAGGUGAUGAAAAGCAACCGCACUUAAACAAUGGUAAGAGGAGCGAAGCGAGUCAAACCACCCAAAAGAAGCAGUGGGAUUAAGUGAUGGGGUGACUGCGUACCUUUUGUAUAAUGGGUCAGCGACUUAUAUUUUGUAGCGAGGUUAACCGAAUAGGGGAGCCGAAGGGAAACCGAGUCUUAACUGGGCGUUGAGUUGCAGGGUAUAGACCCGAAACCCGGUGAUCUAGCCAUGGGCAGGUUGAAGGUUGGGUAACACUAACUGGAGGACCGAACCGACUAAUGUUGAAAAAUUAGCGGAUGACUUGUGGCUGGGGGUGAAAGGCCAAUCAAACCGGGAGAUAGCUGGUUCUCCCCGAAAUCUAUUUAGGUAGAGCCUUGAGGUGACACCUUUGGGGGUAGAGCACUGUUUCGGCUAGGGGUCCAUCCCGGAUUACCAACCCGAUGCAAACUACGAAUACCAAAGAGUGAUACUCAGGAGACACACGGCGGGUGCUAACGUCCGUCGUGGAGAGGGAAACAACCCAGACCGCCAGCUAAGGUCCCCAAGUCUAUAUUAAGUGGGAAACGAAGUGGGAAGGCUUAGACAGCUAGGAUGUUGGCUUAGAAGCAGCCAUCAUUUAAAGAAAGCGUAAUAGCUCACUAGUCGAGUCGGUCUGCGCGGAAGAUGUAACGGGGCUGAAAUAUAGCACCGAAGCUGCGGCAUCAGGCGUAUCACUAAUACGCCUGUUGGGUAGGGGAGCGUUGUGUAAGCGGAAGAAGGUUCAUCGAGAGGUGGGCUGGACGUAUCACAAGUGCGAAUGCUGACAUAAGUAACGAUAAAACGGGUGAAAAACCCGUUCGCCGGAAGACCAAGGGUUCCUGUCCAACGUUAAUCGGGGCAGGGUAAGUCGGCCCCUAAGGCGAGGCUGAAAAGCGUAGUCGAUGGGAAACAGGUUAAUAUUCCUGUACUUGGUAAAGCUGCGAUGUGGGGACGGAGUAGGUUAGGUUAUCGCACUGUUGGAUAUGUGCGUUUAAGUUGGUAGGUGGGAAGUUUAGGCAAAUCCGGACUUCCUUAACACAGAGAGAUGAUGACGAGGCUCUACGGAGCUGAAGUAACUGAUACCACACUUCCAGGAAAAGCCACUAAGCGAAAGGCUUUACUAAACCGUACUGAAAACCGACACAGGUGGUCAGGUAGAGAAUACUCAGGCGCUUGAGAGAACUCGGGUGAAGGAACUAGGCAAAAUAGCACCGUAACUUCGGGAGAAGGUGCGCCGGCGUAGAUUGUAAGGGCUAGCCCCUGAAGGUUGAACCGGUCGAAGUGACCAGCUGGCUGCAACUGUUUAUUAAAAACACAGCACUCUGCAAACACGAAAGUGGAGGUAUAGGGUGUGAUGCCUGCCCGGUGCUGGAAGGUUAAUUGAUGGUGUCAUCGCAAGAGAAGCACCUGAUCGAAGCCCCAGUAAACGGCGGCCGUAACUAUAACGGUCCUAAGGUAGCGAAAUUCCUUGUCGGGUAAGUUCCGACCUGCACGAAUGGCAUAAUGAUGGCCAGGCUGUCUCCACCCGAGACUCAGUGAAAUUGAAAUCGCCGUGAAGAUGCGGUGUACCCGCGGCUAGACGGAAAGACCCCGUGAACCUUUACUAUAGCUUGACACUGAACAUUGAAUUUUGAUGUGUAGGAUAGGUGGGAGACUUUGAAGUAGGAACGCCAGUUUCUAUGGAGUCAUCCUUGAAAUACCACCCUUUAACGUUUGAUGUUCUAACGAAGAUUGCGGAACGUGGUCUCGGACAGUGUCUGGUGGGUAGUUUGACUGGGGCGGUCUCCUCCCAAAGCGUAACGGAGGAGCACGAAGGUUUGCUAAUCACGGUCGGACAUCGUGAGGUUAGUGCAAUGGUAUAAGCAAGCUUAACUGCGAGACAGACAAGUCGAGCAGGUACGAAAGUAGGUCAUAGUGAUCCGGUGGUUCUGAAUGGAAGGGCCAUCGCUCAACGGAUAAAAGGUACUCCGGGGAUAACAGGCUGAUACCGCCCAAGAGUUCAUAUCGACGGCGGUGUUUGGCACCUCGAUGUCGGCUCAUCACAUCCUGGGGCUGAAGUAGGUCCCAAGGGUAUGGCUGUUCGCCAUUUAAAGUGGUACGCGAGCUGGGUUUAGAACGUCGUGAGACAGUUCGGUCCCUAUCUGCCGUGGGCGUAGGAUGAUUGAUUGGGGCUGCUCCUAGUACGAGAGGACCGGAGUGGACGCAUCACUGGUGUUCCAGUUGUCUCGCCAGAGGCAUUGCUGGGUAGCUAAAUGCGGAAGAGAUAAGUGCUGAAAGCAUCUAAGCACGAAACUUGCCAAGAGAUGAGUCAUCCCUGACUUUAAGUCAGUAAGGGUUGUUGUAGACUACGACGUAGAUAGGUCAGGUGUGUAAGUGUAGUGAUACAUUGAGCUAACAGAUACUAAUUGCCCGAGAGGCUUAACUAU
rnacentral:rRNA from 1 species